GCUGGCGGCAUGCCUAACACAUGCAAGUCGAACGAAGCCUUCGGGCUUAGUGGCGCACGGGUGCGUAACGCGUGGGAAUCUGCCCUCAGGUACGGAAUAACUCAGGGAAACUUGAGCUAAUACCGUAUAAUGACUUCGGUCCAAAGAUUUAUCGCCUGAGGAUGAGCCCGCGUCGGAUUAGCUAGUUGGUGAGGUAAAGGCUCACCAAGGCGACGAUCCGUAGCUGGUCUGAGAGGAUGAUCAGCCACACUGGGACUGAGACACGGCCCAGACUCCUACGGGAGGCAGCAGUGGGGAAUAUUGGACAAUGGGCGCAAGCCUGAUCCAGCAAUGCCGCGUGAGUGAUGAAGGCCUUAGGGUUGUAAAGCUCUUUUACCCGGGAUGAUAAUGACAGUACCGGGAGAAUAAGCCCCGGCUAACUCCGUGCCAGCAGCCGCGGUAAUACGGAGGGGGCUAGCGUUGUUCGGAAUUACUGGGCGUAAAGCGCACGUAGGCGGCUUUGCAAGUUAGAGGUGAAAGCCCGGGGCUCAACUCCGGAAUUGCCUUUAAAACUGCAUCGCUAGAAUUGUGGAGAGGUAAGUGGAAUUCCGAGUGUAGAGGUGAAAUUCGUAGAUAUUCG
rnacentral:rRNA from 1 species